UUCUCUGUAGUUCAGUCGCUAGAACGGCGGACUGUUAAUCCGUAUGUAACUGGUUCGAGUCCAGUCAGAGGAGCCA
rnacentral:tRNA from 1 species